UGGGGAAUUGUUCGCAAUGGGCGCAAGCCUGACGACGCAACGCCGCGUGGAGGAUGAAGACUUUCGGGUCGUAAACUCCUUUCGACCGGGAUGAAUUCCCAUCGACCCAACACGUCGAUGGGGUGACAGUACCGGGAGAAGAAGCCCCGGCUAACUCCGUGCCAGCAGCCGCGGUAAUACGGAGGGGGCAAGCGUUGUUCGGAAUUACUGGGCGUAAAGGGCGCGUAGGCGGAACAUUAAGUUAGGGGUGAAAGGCCUGGGCUCAACCUGGGAACGGCCUCUAAGACUGAUGAUCUUGAGUCCGGAAGAGGAUGGCGGAAUUCCCAGUGUAGAGGUGAAAUUCGCAGAUAUUGGGAAGAACACCGGUGGCGAAGGCGGCCAUCUGGUCCGGUACUGACGCUGAGGCGCGAAAGCGUGGGGAGCAA
rnacentral:rRNA from 1 species